rnacentral:rRNA from 1 species
AACGAACGCUGGCGGCAUGCCUAACACAUGCAAGUCGAACGAGACCUUCGGGUCUAGUGGCGCACGGGUGCGUAACGCGUGGGAACCUGCCCUUAGGUUCGGAAUAACUCCCCGAAAGGGGUGCUAAUACCGGUUAAUGUCUUCGGACCAAAGAUUUAUGGCCUUUGGAUGGGCCCGCGUUGGAUUAGCUAGUUGGUAGGGUAAAAGCCUACCAAGGCGACGAUCCAUAGCUGGUCUGAGAGGAUGAUCAGCCACACUGGGACUGAGACACGGCCCAGACUCCUACGGGAGGCAGCAGUGGGGAAUAUUGGACAAUGGGCGAAAGCCUGAUCCAGCAAUGCCGCGUGAGUGAUGAAGGCCUUAGGGUUGUAAAGCUCUUUUACCCGGGAUGAUAAUGACAGUACCGGGAGAAUAAGCACCGGCUAACUCCGUG